rnacentral:lncRNA from 1 species
CUUUCUGGGGGUCGACUUUUCCUGGUGAUCGACUUUACUCGAAAGUCGAUCCCAGGGAAGUCGAUCCUCAGGAAAGUCGAUCUUCCUAGGAUUCGACCUGGGACCUCCAUAACCCUAGAAUAGAUACCUCAACUCAUCUUAGGCUAUCCGGACUUCUAGUUGCUGGUAGGUUGUGACCGUGUUCGGGAUACUGUAUCAC